UCCAUGACCAACUCAUGGAUUAUUAGUUUUACCUGCCAAAUCAGAGAGGAAAUCUUUUUUCUUUUGGACAUUCUUCUUCACUACUGGACUAUCCGAUAACACGGUACAAAAGAAAGUGCUUCUGUUAAAGACGAGACAAUCCCCAAAGGAAUGCAGGCAGGCAUUACGCUGUUUGUUCAGAUUGGUGGGGAGUGAAAUGCAGCUAGAAAACACAGAGAUGCACCCUGCCUCCAGGCUGUUUGCCUUGCUCACUGUUGCUCUAUCACGCCGAUGCCGUUUUCUCACACAACGCUGUGAGGAGCGUCACACGACCGCGCAAGAGCUCCAGCCUACAUGACAGGCUGCUUUCAGGCCCAUCAACCUGAUUAUGCUGUAAUCGAGUCAGCAAGGCUGCUGAGAACUGGGGUCACGGGGGAGCCUGGAGCCUAUCCCAGGGAACUCAGGGCAGGGUGCCAUCACAUGGCAGGGCACAAUCGCACACACAUUCACACAAUAUUGACAAUUUUGGAAACGCCAAUCAGCCUACAACACAUGUCUUUGGACUGGAGGAGGAAACUGGAGUACCCGGAGGAAACCCCCAAAGCAUGGGGAGAACAUGCAAACUCCAUGGACACAGGGUGAAGGCAGCAUUCAAACCCCUAACCCCAGCGGUGCGAGGAAAGCAUGCUAACCACUAAGCCAUCGUGCCCCCUGAUUAAUUUAUCUACAUUAAAAUCAACUAAAUGUAGGUGUUUUCUGUAAAAAGACAAAAAAAAAAAAAAAAUAGCCAAAAGGAAGAAAGAAAAGGUUUUCCAGUUACUUUUAGUCUCCAGACCUGAUCUAAAGGCUCUGGUUUGCUUCACCAAUGUGGAAAAUGGGUGAUGCAAUCUACAGUCAGGGACAACAAAUAUGUCAAGGAAAAAUCGAGGGUGAAUAUUAAUAUUCAGAGGAUGCAAAAGCUGCUCAGAGAACAUGAAAAUAGGUUGGAAGCAAUUAUAAAGGCAGAAUGUGGGUAUAUAAAUUAUUAGAGAAUAUAUAGGCUGUAUUACAUUCAGAAAGGGAGAACAGAUAUUAUAUAUUAUAUAAUCAUACUCUGACAUACUGUAUUUGACAGUUGUAAAUUAUGAUAAAGGAACAUCUGUGAAACCUGGAGAAAAGAAAUGUCUCGGUACAAAUUUGA